CCGCGAGGGGAUGUCUGAAGGAAGCCCGAGCGCAAAACUGCGAGCCUACGAACAGAAACGUCAUAGAAGGCCAAGCCGCAGGGGUGAGUUAGCACAAGAUAACGAAACCCACUGGUUCGCGCGGUAUGGUAAAUGGCGAGGUUGUGCAGCGACAGUUCAU
rnacentral:ncRNA from 1 species